AAAAACCCCAAGCUUCUCACUGCUCUGGCCAAUAUGAAGCGCUUGAAAUCACUGUCAAUCUCCUCAGACUCUGCGACUCAUUCAGCGAUAGGAAGCUGUGGCAAGGAGCAACAGGGUGCUCUCUUGUUUUAUAACCAUGGGGAAUUAUUAAGGCUUAGUUGCAACCAGAG